rnacentral:rRNA from 1 species
GUCUAUGGCCAUACCACCCUGAACGCACCCGAUCUCGUCUGAUUUUGGAAGCUAAGCAGGGUUGGGCCUGGUUAGUAUUUGGAUGGGAGACUGCCUGCGAAUACCGGGUGCUGUAGGCC